GGGCCCGCACAAGCGGUGGAGUAUGUGGUUUAAUUCGAUGCAACGCGAAGAACCUUACCAGGGUUUGACAUCCUGCGAAUCUCUUGGAAACGAGAGAGUGCCUUCGGGAACGCAGUGACAGGUGGUGCAUGGCUGUCGUCAGCUCGUGUCGUGAGAUGUUGGGUUAAGUCGGAUAACGAGCGCAACCCUUACCCUUAUUUGCCAGCGAUUCGGUCGGGAACUAUAAGGGGACUGCCGGUGAUAAACCGGAGGAAGGUGAGGACGACGUCAAGUCAUCAUGCCCCUUACAUCCUGGGCUACACACGUACUACAAUGCUACGGACAAAGGGCAGCAAGUUCGCGAGGACAAGCAAAUCCCAUAAACCGUGGCUCAGUUCAGAUCGUAGGCUGCAACUCGCCUACGUGAAGGCGGAAUCGCUAGUAAUCG
rnacentral:rRNA from 1 species